rnacentral:pre_miRNA from 1 species
AGAAUAAUGCCAGCAGUCGGCUGUGCUGUGUUUCAGGCCAGUGCUGGUGUUAUUGAGA